rnacentral:rRNA from 1 species
UAGAGACUCAGAGCUGCAUAUCAAUAAGCGGAGGAAAAAGUACCUACGCUUAGGAUGUUGAAGAUGUAGCACAUCAUACACGCAUGACACACUGCAUAUCAAUAAGCGGAGGAAAAGUAAAUGCUGUAUACCUACGCUUAGGAUGUUGACACACGCGCGUGCUCGACUCUAUACAUGACUCUGUGCAUAUCAAUAAGCGGAGGAAAAGGUACCUACGCUUAGGAUGUUGACGAGACUGUCGAUCUCAUCUAUACAUGACUCUGUGCAUAUCAAUAAGCGGAGGAAAAGCCAACUACCUACGCUUAGGAUGUUGACGAGACUGUCGAUCUAUACAUGACUCUGUGCAUAUCAAUAAGCGGAGGAAAAGGUACCUACGCUUAGGAUGUUGACGAGACUGUCGAUUUCAUACAUGACUCUGUGCAUAUCAAUAAGCGGAGGAAAAGAGGGCUAUUACCUACGCUUAGGAUGUUGACGCGCGUGUGUGCGUGAGUCUAUACAUGACUCUGUGCAUAUCAAUAAGCGGAGGAAAAGGCUGCGGAACUGAACGACCGCUACCUACGCUUAGGAUGUUGACGAGACUGUCGAUCUCAUCUAUACAUGACUCUGCGCAUAUCAAUAAGCGGAGGAAAAGGAUAACAUGUAUACCUACGCUUAGGAUGUUGACGCAUGAGAUAUACGC